CGCCCACCCCGUCCGGGACUUCCGGACCCCGCUACGCCCCUGCCGCUGCCCCGGGGGUGGAUCAGGUGUCCCGCGAGGGUGGGUGAGCGGAUGGAAGGGCGCCCGUCGCGGGGACGCAGGGCGCUGCUCCAGCCCGUGGAGUGAGAGAUCGGUGGGUGAGCAGUGGACCUGACGCGCAGGUGGGAGCCGCGGCCUAGGCGGGUCCGGGGCUGGGAAGGGCCGGCUGCAGCUGUGCCUGAGGUGUUCAGUCAGAAAAAGGUCAGCUGCUGACGGCCCGGCGCCCGCCUCCUGGGGCUUCGCGACGUGGGAGUGCAGUCCAGGGUGACAGCGGGGCCAGGGUGGGUCUGAAGACCACCCGAGCCGGCGCGGGAGGAAGCUUCCCUACGCUAAUGUCAGAGAUCUGGACAGCAGAAUCUAGGAGCAAGUCACCCAGUUCUUUCCUGACGCUGUACCAGCCUCCUUCUCUCCCAGCUCUAUUUCCAGGAUCCUUUGUGUGUUUCUAGGAGCAGCAGGAAAUGAAUACAUCUCUGGACUUUGCUUUACCAAACCUGAGGUGAUCGUCAAGUUGGAACAAGGAGCAGAGCCAUGGACUGUAAAAGAACCCCCAAACCAGAGUUUCCCAGGCCUUACUAUUUAUGAGAUAAUCCACACUGGGGAAGAGCCCUUUUGGCUAUUGGCCAGCACUCAAGGACGAAUGUCAGAAAACCUUUUGUGAGAAGUCAACCCUCAAUAGACAUUGGAGAAUACACCCAGGAGAGAAACCCUUUGGAUAAAUGGAGUGUAUGAAAACUUUCUACCAAAAGUCAGCCCUGGCCAUACACGAGAGAACUCAUACAGGAGAGAAACCCUAUGAAUGUAACGAAUGUGGAAAAACCUUUGGUCAGAAAUCACACCUCAGGAAACACCAGAGAACUCACACUGGGGAAAAAUCAUGAAUGGCAGAGACUGGCUGUAUAUAUAUAUACCAAAACUCUUUUUCUUUUACUUGGAUUAUGGGAUAAGCAGAUUGGAAGCUCAAGAAACACAAUAGAAUCCCUAAUGUCAAAGGAGGAAAAGCAGUAAAUGUCCUGUGUCUAGUUUACGAGCCCUUGAGGAGAGUGAAGCCUUGGGCAUCCCUGGAGCAGAGGUUUUAGUGUCCAGGUCAGAGUUGUCUCUAGCUCAGAGGAUGAUGUCAUCUCCAGCGUUGAGUUCCUGGGUGGAGCAAUAUCGUCUAGUGUGAGAUUGGAGUGUCCUUCUCAACUGGACACCACUUGGUGUGAGUCUUGGUUUUGUUGCUGGGAGCCACAAAGUAGCUAAGAAGAAUGAUCCUGCGUGAGGCCUAACUGUAAGCAAAGCUACAGCAGAUGCUGAAGAAGCUGAAGCUGCAAAGCAGUUUCGAAGAAUCUCCCAGCUGAUCCUGUCUAGUAAAAAUUUCUGAAAAAUGAUUUCCUCUUCUAUUCUUGCACUUUUUUGCUGUCUGACGUUAAUGUGUGUUGUAAGUCAUUCUUGGCUCAUAAAAUGGGAACCUUCUCAAAUUCCUGAGCCUCCACCCAAGUAUGGGCCAUUACCUACUUACAGACCUAGCCCUUGCAAAAUAGGUUGAAAACAGUUGAGCAUUGUGUAAAGAACUUUCCUAUUAUGCAGAACUGCCACCGUAAGCCUGGGGAUUUGUGGAGUUUGGUCCGUUCCCAUGGAAACAGAUUAGGAGGUGGUUUGGGUGUUGCCCAUGGCCCAACAAUUGUGGCUACUAUAAGGCGAGAUAUUUUUCCACAAAAAAACGCUACCUGUUGGGACCCAGCAGGUGGAAAUUAUUAUUUUUAUAAUUGGCAGGAUUCUUUGACAUAUAGAUUUGAUAAUUAAUAGAGAUUUAUAUAAUUAUAGACAAGGUUUAUAUAAGACAGUUUAUGUUCCCACGACCUGCUAAUGGUCUGAGGUCAGCCUGACCUCAAAAGCAAGCCACGUGUGAAUACCCCACUCCCCAUUAAUGGCUGCUCAUGCCUGCUGUAAGAGCACAAUAGGUAGCUUGAGGCAAGAAUGUCUAUCACCUUACGCCAAAUCAUGAUGAAGCAAAAACUAGAUACCUAUUAUUCUGCUUGCUAAUCAUUUGUUUUCUAAGAAUAAAAGUACAGUUUGCACGUA